rnacentral:misc_RNA from 1 species
CAAGUACUGCAGCUCCCCACCCUUCUUAGUCCCUCGCCCCACCGGCCUCUCACGCACCGACACCCACAAUUCAAUAUACACGCACGCACGCGAUGUUAACGGGGACUCUCCCACAACUGCAGCACGGGACCACCCCAGCGCAGCGUGGCGCAUCAUCGGCCUUGAACGACAGCCAUGACAUCCUGGCUCUCCGCACGGCCUGCGGCACGUUUGGGGUGGUUUGCUUCUCCCUGCUCGUCUUCGCCUUUCUGGGGCACAUAGCGCUCGCCUUGCUAAAGCUGUCUUCACGAGGAGGCGUACCACGGACAAGCAAGGCAAUCACGGUGAACAAACUGCACCACAUCGCCCACAGUGUGCGGCACCUAGGCAUCAUCAUGGACGGCAACAGGCGCUACGGCAGGCGCCACAGCACGGCGGCUAGGUGCCCAGACCCAUCAGCGCUGCGAGAGAUACGCGAGGAGUUGUGCAGCGCCACAGAGCUCACCGCGACCCAUAGCGCGACCGAGCAGUCGUGCUGGCUGGCAGCUCGCUACAAGCGCUUUGCAUCGGUCAUUCAGCACAGCUCCCUUGACGGCCACCGCGUCGGUGGGGAGAAGCUGCUGGAGGUCAUCAAACACAGCAUGGAGGCGGGCAUCGAUAUGGUGACGGUGUACGCCUUCUCCACCGACAACUGGAACCGCCCCGCCGCGGAAGUGGAUGCGCUCAUGUCACUCUUUUUUUUCUUCUUUGACCGCAUCCGCAAGGAGGCGCUAGAGCGGCACAUAUUUGUGCGCUUUAUAUCCACCGAACUGUUCCGCCUACCGCCUCGCGCGGUGGAGUUCAUGAGGAGUGUGGAGCGCGAGACGCGAGCAGUGCAGCCCCGUCGGCUGGUGCUGAACAUCUGUGUGAGCUACAGCGGUCAGUCGGAGGUGGUGGCAGCGUGCAACCGCCUUGUCGCCCGCCGCCUCCGAGACAGCACCGACCCCGCCUCCGCCGCUGCCGUUGCAACAGAGGUGACGAAGAAAGAGCUGGACAGAGAGAUGCUGCGCAGCAUCACUCAGGACGAGCACGAGGCGGAGGACGCGCAUCUCUUCGGCGGCGACGUCUCUGUAGAACCAGAGCUUAUUCUCCGCACAAGUGGAGAGCAGCGCAUCAGUAACUUUCUCCUCUAUGAGUGCGCCUACUCCGAGUUUGUGUUUCUGGACAAGGCGUGGCCGGAGGUGACACAGGAGGAUAUUCGACAGGCGCUCUCCGAUUUCACUCGUCGCGAGAAACGUAAGGGGCGUUGAUGGUACCGGUGAACGCGCCAGCAGCAUCGAAACGCUAAAUAUCCAUCGAGAUGCACGCCGCCUACAUUCGCCCAAUAUGGGUAUUACAUGCGACUGUGCCUUGAGAGCUGCAGUUGCAUUCGCGCCAAUACCGUUCGCUCUUUUCAUUUUCUCGCUUUGUGCGUAACCCUCCUCUCUCGUAGGCAGGCCUGCUGGUGGCACCGUUGCUCGAAAGGGGCAACGCCCCUUCCACUCUGGCAGGUUGUUCUCGCUCUCUUACUCUUCGCUUGAUCAUGGAGGACCACCUUAUGUGC